AUUGAACGCUGGCGGCAGGCCUAACACAUGCAAGUCGAACGAGUGGCGGACGGGUGAGUAAUGUCUGGGAAACUGCCCGAUGGAGGGGGAUAACUACUGGAAACGGUCGCUAAUACCGCAUACCCUCGGAUGUGCCCAGAUGGGAUUAGCUAGUAGGUGGUGUAACGGCGCACCUAGGCGACGAUCCCUAGCUGGUCUGCGAGGAUGCCCAGCAACACUGGAACGGUGACACGGUCCAGACUCCUACGGGAGGCAGCAGUGGGGAAUAUUGCACAAUGGGCGCAAGCCGGAUGCAGCCAUGCCGCUGGUAUGAAGAAGGCCUUCGGGUUGUAAAGUACUUUCAGCGAGGAGGCGUUACUCGCAGAAGAAGCACCGGCUAACUCCGUGCCAGCAGCCGCGGUAAUUC
rnacentral:rRNA from 1 species